rnacentral:lncRNA from 1 species
AUAGACUAGGAUCUUACCCUCCAGCUCGAUGCUCCGGUAUAUUUGGGAACUGUAGUGCUGGUGAUUCAGAAAGGGAGCCCUUCAUUGCAGCGCACAAUAUGAUCCUAUCUCAUGCAGCUGCUGUCAGAAUUUACCGUACCAAACAUCAGGUUCGUUCAAUGGCUCUAGACGGCAUGAUCUUGCAGAAUUAGUCCAAAUGGAUUACCCCUUUAGUGCAACGCUACUUUCUGGCUUGUAAAUGACAUGAAGUGAAUUUUGUUGUUAGUAAAACAGGAAAAUUGAUACUUAGAAGACUAGAGCUCGAGAAUUUAUGCUUGGAAACUAAUUCCUCCUCUAUCUAUUAAAUGGUAUAUUGUAAAAGUUCAUUAAAAGACCAUACAAUUAGUAUCAGUAACUAUUUUAUGCUGGUUUUCAGAAAAGACAAGGAGGCAUGGUUGGAAUUGCUUUGGAUAUCCAAUGGUAUGAACCAUUUAGCAAUUCCUCAGAAGACAUAGCUGCAACUGAGAGAGCUCGGUCAUUCUACUUCAACUGGUAAUCUUUCCUUAUCAGUAGUUCAAUGCUAUAAUCUGGUUUCUUGUGCAUCAGAAAGAGAGGGAAAAAAUGUUAUUUUUUUACUAUGCAGGUUUUUAGACCCUAUUAUAUUAGGAAGAUAUCCCAAAGAAAUGGUACAAAUUCUGGGAUCUAAUCUGCCAAACUUUUCAAAGAAUGAUUUGAGCAAGCUGAGUUAUGGCUUAGAUUUCAUUGGCAUCAAUUACUAUACGGCUAACUAUAUCAAAGAUUGCUUAUAUGCUGCCUGUGAACAUGGAAACACUUGGUCAGAGGGUUCCUAUUAUGUUACUACAGAAAAAGACGGUGUCUACAUUGGCCAACCUGUAUGUUUUCUCAUCUUUUAACCCACUCUGUCAAACCAUUGCUAUAUUUUUAUUUCCCCCCCCCCAACUUUAAAUGAAUCAGACAGGUGCGCCAUGGAUCUUUCUGUACCCACAAGGGAUGAAAAAAAUUGUGAUGUACAUGAGGGACAGAUUCAAUAAUACUCCAGUGGCUAUCACCGAAAAUGGUAAGAAUUUCACAUUCUGUCAUUUAGAAGCGCAGUUUAUCAAUUAAUAACUUGAACGAGAUGCAUUUGACACAAUUGGCUAUGUUGCAGGUGUUGCUGAGAACGAUGAUCUGAAUACUUCAAUAACAGACACCUUGAACGAUAUUCAUAGAGUGAACUAUAUGCAUAGCUACUUAAAUUCACUGUCAAAUGCAAUUAGGGAAGGUGCAGACGUGAGGGGGUACUUUGUUUGGUCCCUUCUCGACAACUUUGAGUGGCUACAUGGAUAUAGGCUAAGAUUUGGACUUCACUAUGUCAACUAUACUAAUCUUCAGAGAAUACCAAAAUUAUCAGCUACCAUGUAUAAACAACUAAUGUAUAACUUCAACAUACAGCUUGAAACACAUACUGCCCAUAACUAGUGGGAGAAGAUGAUGAAAAGCGGAGGUUUGUAAAGAUUAUUUUCAUUUCGGUGUCUUGUUGUUGGAAGACAGUUUAUUUGGUAAUGAAACAAAUAAGUGUUCAGCCUGAUCCUUGCCUUCAUAUUGCAAGAGUUAAGCUCAAGCCUAACCUUGUAUUCACUGCAAUGGAACUGUAAUUAUGCAAAAAUAUUCUGUUGAAAGAGGGUGUCUCAUACUUGAAUGCUAGUCUUUAUGGACUAUAACUUGUUGGCGUAGAGACCCAGCUACAUUAGCUUGAUAUUUCAUGAUCAAAUAAACAAUAAAUAUAAGACAAACUAAUAAUGACAAAAAACAAAAUCAUCCAGAUUCUUACUUGAGAACCCACAAAAAGUUAUCGAAUAUGAAUAUUCCCUUUCAAUAACGCCAUAUAUAUUAAAGUAACAAGUAAGUUUUGAAAAGUAUAAGGGAUCAGUGAUUCGAGUAUUUCCACUUCUUUUCAUCUUUCACAAUUCCAAGUUGCAACUCAUCGGUCUCCAUAAGGAACGCUUUAAUUUUCGUACGAGUCUUUAUUUAGAUUAAUCGGGAUUAGUUGAAUUCCGAAUGAACCACCUCUGCCUUAAAAAAGGUGAAAAAGAAAGAAGACAACUGCAACACAUUAACAAAUGACUCUUUUCUCACUUUACAAAAAUCUUAUUGUCCUAUUUGAUUGAUGGCUUGGAGGUGACAAAACAUAAA